UACGUAGGUGGCGAGCGUUGUCCGGAUUUACUGGGCGUAAAGGGAGCGUAGGCGGACUUUUGAGUGAGAUGUGAAAUACCCGGGCUCAACUUGGGUGCUGCAUUUCAAACUGGAAGUCUAGAGUGCAGGAGAGGAGAAUGGAAUUCCUAGUGUAGCGGUGAAAUGCGUAGAGAUUAGGAAGAACACCAGUGGCGAAGGCGAUUCUCUGGACUGUAACUGACAUUGAGGCACGAAAGUGUGGGUAGCAAACAGGAUUAGAUA
rnacentral:rRNA from 1 species